rnacentral:rRNA from 1 species
GAUGAACGCUGGCGGCGUGCCUAAUACAUGCAAGUCGAGCGAACAGAUGAGGAGCUUGCUCCUCUGACGUUAGCGGCGGACGGGUGAGUAACACGUGGAUAACCUACCUAUAAGACUGGGAUAACUUCGGGAAACCGGAGCUAAUACCGGAUAAUAUAUUGAACCGCAUGGUUCAAUAGUGAAAGACGGUUUUGCUGUCACUUAUAGAUGGAUCCGCGCCGCAUUAGCUAGUUGGUAAGGUAACGGCUUACCAAGGCAACGAUGCGUAGCCGACCUGAGAGGGUGAUCCGCCACACUGGAACUGAGACACGGUCCAGACUCCUACGGGAGGCAGCAGUAGGGAAUCUUCCGCGAUGGGCGAAAGCCUGACGGAGCAACGCCGCGUGAGUGAUGAAGGUCUUCGGAUCGUAAAACUCUGUUAGUAGGGAAGAACAAAUGUGUAAGUAACUAUGCACGUCUUGACGGUACCUAAUCAGAAAGCCACGGCUAACUACGUG